CUCUUCUGCAUCAUUUACUUGCUCCCAGUAAUUUUCAGUAAUUGUCCCAUCUUCAGCUACUUUAUACCCUACCCCCAUUCGGUACCUGUGUUUGUGAACAUUUCUUGCCAUAGCAAUAGUUUGCUCCACAAAUGGUUCCCAUGAUAAGGUACCAUCCAUGAUCACAUCUCGACCCUCAUUUAGAGCUGUCACCAGCAGAGAUGAUGCAGCAUCAGUGGAAGAUUGAUGCACCUGUUCAGAUUUUGAUAAAUUAGAUGCAAUCAUCAGUUAAAAAUAGGUUACAAUUAAGGAUCUAAUAUAUGUCAUCCAUUUCAUCAUAGCUAAAUUGCAAAAGGACCUUUACGUGAAUGACAAUUUCUUAAAAUUUAUUUUGGAUUUCUAUAACAUUAGUCACAUGCUGCACAUACAAUAGUGGUCAGUUUAGUGGGAAGAUAUGAUAAUAAUAACAUGGAGGUCAUGGUUCACACAGAAGCAUACCAAUUCAGCAGUUUGGAGCAUGUCAUCAUGGUGACCUCUGGAGCUAAGGGCUCUAUAUAUGACGUCACUCUCCUUGAAAGCAUCUGCCUCAACCACCACAGCAUUUGAAGCUGCUCCUGACCAAAAUGAUCUGCCAAAGCCAAUUGAUACACAUAAACAAUCUUACUCAAACUAAGUUGGAAAGUAGAACUUCUUUCAUACUUAAAUAUGUCUUCAACCUUAAUAAUGGAUCCUAUUUAUGAUACAGUCAUGGUCACAUGUGCCAUAAUGCUAGCGGAUCCUAAUUUGGGUGUCCAUAUGAUUUACUAAUAAUUAUUCUUACUUUCAGUAGUAAUAAUCAGUAAUGGCUAACACAUUCAUAUUAUUAAGACUAUUAGCAUUAGAGAAUGAUCAUAGUGCAAGAGCAGAGUUACUCUUUAAGAAUGUCUUUAAGAACAGUGCUCUUUCCAGCUCCCAUGCCACCCCCCAUGAACAGCAGGACUGGACUCCUCUCACUGUGGGCCAUGGGCACCAUCACUUCUGUACAUUGCGAGUCACCAUUUAUUGCUUUCAUCUCUUCCACCAAAGUAGAGAUCACUCUUGUCACUUUCAGAUUCUUGGUUACUCUAUCAAACCUCUGUUCCCUGUAAACACCGCACCAUAUUGGCUUCAACGAACAUCGUCAAUAUUUAAAUUUAAAUACAUGUACACUUGCAUAGUGCCAGAAAUAAAAUGUUAUUAAAACUUGGAAAACUUUUAACUCCAUUACAAUUUUAUUUUAUCCCUAGCAAUAAAAAAUAAAUAAAAAUAAUUACAAGAGGUUUACAACAACUUAGAUAUUCUUGUUUAAAUAACUGAACUAUAUUCCUUUAGUUUAACUAAUUAACAUCAUCAAACUGAUGUAACAUUUCAAUUUUUAAGAAAAGAAUUUAAUUAAUGUUUAAAAAAAUAAAUUUGAAUUAUUUGAUUAAAUGAUAAAAAAAAGAAUUUGCAAAUAAAAUAGAAAUUUACCUUGUAGCUGCCAAUAGAAUUCCCUUCAGCUUUUUUUUCUGCUGAGACUCCACACCCAAAACCUAUCAUUCAACCAAUUAAAAUCGUAUGCUUUGUUUGUACGAACAAUAAAAUAGAAAGGAAAGAGAAAGAAAAAAAGAUAAAUAGAAUGAAAAAAAUGUGUUGUUUAGAUGGAUAAAAAUAAGGAAGGCAGUAGAAAAACAAUUCUCUACUAUUUGGAUGAGUGAAAAAGAGAAUAAAAAAUAUAAGAAAAAUAUUUUUAUAUCAAUUAAUUAAUAUGUUUAUUGUUAUUAUUAUUUUACAAAAAGUAUUUUUUAUUAUAAUUUAAAAAAUAUAUUUAUAAAAAAUUAUUUAAUUUUUAAGUAAUACAUAAUUAGUAAUUUUCAUCCAAAAUCAUGGAUAAAAUGCAAAGACACAAAAUGAGAAGGGACUCGCGAAUUUUUGCAACUUUUACUCAUUAAUUUUCCUUCAAACAAACAAAAAUAAAAUACUUAAAAUUACUUCUAAUUUUUUUCCUCUCAAAUUAACCAAAACAAACGUGGUAAUGAUUAAUCUAAGUUUAAGGGUGGAUUUGGUUGUAAGAAAUGAUUGAGAAAGGACGGGGAAAGAAGCAAGUGAAGAGAAAUGUGUUAUUUUUUCUAGAUGGUAGAAUGAAACGGAGGGAAAGUUUUUAAAACAUUUUAGAUUUAAAUAUUUUUUUAAUUUUUAGAAUGAAAAGGAAGGAAAUUUUUUAAAAUAUUUUAGAUUUAAAUAUCUUUUUAAUUUUUAUAAUGUAGUUUUUUUCAUCCUUGUAGGAUUAUUUUUUCAUUUUUAACUCUUAUAAUUUAUAUUUUUUUAUUUUUCGUUAUUAUAACGAUUUAGAUAAUAUUUUUUUACUUUAUAAAGCAUUAUCUAAAUUUUUUUUAAAAUAUAAUUUAUAAAAACUAAAAAUAAAAAAUAUUUUAUAAAAGAUAAAAAUAAAAAUACUAAAUUACAAUAAUUAAAAAAAAUACUUAAGUCAAUAUUUGAAGUUUCCACAUACCACAGGUAUACAAUUCUUCUCUCAACUGACGAGAAUUACGAGGAAAUAGGUUCUGUGUAGUUGUUUUUCCCAUUUAGCCAUUUUUUCACGAGUUAAAACUGUGCACGCUGUACACGUUUUUCCCCAAAGUUAAAGCACGUGUUAAUAUUAAUGACUAAAAGGAUACUAACUCUAAUCCUAUUUAAUACUAUUAUAAAUUUAAAUUUUAUUCUUAAAAUAUUCUUAAAUUUAAAGGUUAUAAGUGAUAUUUAUAUUUAAUAUUAAUACUCAUAAUUCAGAGUAUCUAGUAAAUACACUUAACAAUAAAUUAAAAGUAUAAAAAAAAUUCAAUCCUAAUAAAUUUAAAAAUUAGUCAUGAUUUCUAUAUAAUUAGAAUCAAAGAAAAAGGAUAAUUAACAAUAAAUUAAGUGUUUAGAAUUAAUAUCCUGAAAGAAUAAAAUAAUUUUAUAUUAUUAAUCAAUUAUAUCAUUUGAAUUAAUUUAAAAUAAUAAUUUUAAAAAUUAACACGUUUAUUAUAUAUGAUACGAAUGAUUGUGUAAAAUUUUAUAUAUAACAAUAUAUAAUUCUUUUUCCUUUUUUAGUCAAUUUACAUUUUUUAAAAAUAAUUAAUUUCAUUAAUUAAUGUUAUAAGUUUAUCAAUAAUUUAAAAUGUUCUUCUAAAAUUAGUCUUAGUUUUUUAACUUUUUUUUUCACUUUCAAAACUUAAUUGCUUCCUUCCUAUCUUCAAUUUCGAUAAAAGAAAAGAAGAGUUCAACUCAUUAUUUUUUAGCAUUUACUAUUAUUUAGCUAAAAAAUUUAUUAAUUAAUAAAGAAUACUUAGAAAAUUUAAUAUAACAUACAAUUAAUAAAAGAGAAAUGUUAAUUAAGUCCUUAGAACACAUGUUAAAAAAGUAAAAGAAAAAAUAUUUCAUUAAAAAUUGAAAUUCAAAAAAACGUGUUUUUUUUAUUUUUUUAAAGAGCUUAAUGUAUUAUCAUCCAAUCAUAAAUCAUUAUUUAAAUUAUUUUAAGAUAAUUAUUAUAAAAAUUAACAGAUUUAUCAUAUAUUAUAGAAAUUAUAGAUUAUGAUUAUUUACAACUUUUUACAUAAUCAAAUAAUUCUUUUUCUCAUUUUAAAAUAUGUUUAUAUGAUUUUCAAUAAAAUCUUUUCUUUUUUUGUUAAUUCUUUUAACAGUUUAACCAACGUCCACUAAUUAGCAAAAACUCAUUAAAAAAGGCGAUGGAAUUACAAGGGGUUAGAAUGUGGGGAGGGAGAAACCUGAGAGUAGGAACCCCACCAGCAGAUGGCAUUAAAAAAAAUAAAAACCGAUAAAUUGGUUUGGAACAAAAGCGGGGCCAUGAAUGGAACAUUAACAUUAACAUACCUGACUAAUGACAGAUGUAGCUUGGUUCCAGUGAAAUGCUAAAUAACUGAGGAUGCAUCUCUCUAACUCCUCAACUAAUUUCGCAUAUAGAGAAUCAGUGUUCUCCACAUUGCCACUGGAAAUAUAUUCAAAGAUGCUUUCAUCGCACCCUUUGGAUUUUUUCAAAUACUCUUGGGCCAAUAUGCAUAGCUCUGGAACCUCAUCAGCAUCUUCAAACCCCAUUUGCCUUGCUGCAAUGCAAACACAUGAGUAAAAAAAAAAACAUUACCUGACAUAAUGCAUUAAUGCUCAACCUAACAUAAUGCAUUAAUGCUCGACCGUCUUUAUGUUGAUCCAACUCUUCACAUCAAUUAUUAUAACCACCUUAAUAAAAGAAGGCAAAUGGUAUACACUGGUUAAAAAUAAUAUCUAAAAGGUGGUUUGAUUUCAUUCUUGGUUCUAAAAUCCCAGUUUUUCAACAAUUAAUUUAUCGUCUAAAAUUUAUCUAAGUUUUGAAAUUUUUUUCAUAAAAUUUUGCAUUCCUCUCUCACUUUCUUCUCGUCCAACCAAAUAUAGCAUAAAAAAUCAAGCAAACUCUAAGAAUAUAGGAAAAGUGUGAAUUUUUCUUUGUCACAUAAAAGUACAGUACGGAGAGGAGAAAAAAACAAAAUUAGUAACGUUGUUGAUAAGUGCAUCCAUUACAGGGUUUGUAAUAGUGGUAGAGCAAAUUAAAUGAAAACCCCUAAAACAUACAUACCAACAUAGUGGGAGAACUUUUCGAUCUCCCCGAGACGCCCAGAUUCCGUCCUACGUAGCUCGGGAAUAACCUUCUUCUGCUCUCCCACCACCGUGGACGGUGCCCGCCGGUAGCUUGAGGCGGCGGCGGCGGCAACUAAACCGGCGAAGGAGGCAGCCAGAACAUGUGUGAACUUGAAAACUUUCCCAAUAGAACUGUCUGAAAAAUUUGUUGUAAAAUACAUGUUAUAAUUAAACUAUAUGCAAAUUGUUGCAGAUUAGAAGAGAAAGAGGGAUUUGACUUUUGUCAUUCACCUUGAUCCAUCUUGAUGGGUUUUUCAGAAUCACAAAUGGCUACCAACUCUCCAUACCAUUGUUAAAUAUUGCCUGAAAUGAUGAAAUGGACAUAAGAAAUUAAAUAAAGCUGAGUCAGAAGAUAUGGCAGGAAGAAUGUGAUUCUGUGCGCUCGUAUAUAAUUGUACCUCGUGCUUGUUCAGAUCCAACGCUCAUGUUUUUUUCUUAAAUUUUCUUUUCAUAAAAUACUUGUUUUUUUAAAUCAUGGUCGUGGCCAGUGACGUGAUAACAAUUAUUCUUUAAUAUUAUAAAACAGAGAAAAUUACUAUAGAUAAUAUUAGGUUAUACCCAUGUGAUGCAUGAUGAGAAUUAUUUUAGGUUGAACAUAAAUUACAAUAACUAGGAACAGGUCUGUAUGAAUGCAGGUUUUUAAAGUACAAAAACUUUUUAAAACAGAGAGAAAAAGGAGAAUGAAAUGUGAAUAAAAUAAAAUAAGAUGUGUAGAACUAUUUUCUUUUGAAUAACCUAUGGGUGCAUUUUAGUCCUUUUCUUAUUACAUUUUCUUUUUUUGCUUAUUGCUUCACGGGUCAUGUACUCAUCUUUUCUUUCUAUCAAAAUGCAAGGCUUAUACAUGGUCCUUUAACAAAACAAUUAAAUAAAAGUUACAAUAAAUGAGUUACAAGGUUUUGUAGUCCUUUAAGAGGUAAAGUAAAAAAUUAAUAGUUAAAAUUAUAAAUGAUAAAUAUAGAUAUUUAAAAAAAAUUUGUACAAAAACUCAAUUUAUAUUUUAUUUUUGUGCCAGCUAGUUAGAUGUGAUAUUGAUAAUAACAAUGCUUUAUAAUCUUCAAAAUUAAAUAUGUAAUUUAAUCGUUAAGGUUGUGUUUAUUUCAUGUAGAGAAAAAAAAUUUAAAAAAAUUAUCUUUUCUUUCUUUCCUCUUAAAUGAAACAGAUCUUAAAUUAUAAUUAUACAAUUUUAAUUAUUUUUAUAUAAGUUGAACAUCACAUUUUAAUUUAUAAUUUUUUUUUUCAUUUAUAUGAUAUAAUAAUUUGUAAAUUUGUAAAUAAUUAGGCAUAAUCACGUCUUGUCCCUUUUGAAAUUCUUGUGACCUCCCACGGCUCGAACAACAAGAAUGCAUGAUACAACAACAGGAGACAAAACAGCCAUAAAUGAUGAGAUGGCAAGGACUUUGCCAGGGAGCAGUGUGUCGUGGGGAGAAGUGAAAGCUGUUGCUCCAUCGACGUGGCAAUUCGCGGAGUGUCAAAGUGAAAGCCAUCCAAAGAUGAAAAUAAUAUUCAACAAAAUUUAUGUAUUUUUUUAGUGAAAUUUACGCUUAUUAUACUUUAUUUUAUUUCAAAAAAAUUCUUCUAUUAUUAUCCUUAAAAUCAAUCAAACCACAGAAGAGAUGACAUGGUAAGAAGUAGCCUCCUUUUCUUGCUCUUUAGCAUAUUUGUUAAAAAAAACUAUACAUUUUUCUUAAAAAAUUUAACAACUUAAUAUUUAUAAAAGAAAAAAAAAGCACAGUAAUAAAUAGUUUUUUUUAAUAAAACAGAGUAAUUAAAUAACUUUUAAAAAAAAGUUAAGUGUCACUUUGAAAGGUACGCGUUAGAAAUGAAGACAAUUUCACAUCAACUAUUGAAAAAAAAAAGAAGUCAAAAGUAGUAAAUAUUUGUUUCUCGCUGUCACAAGUCUGGUAGAUUAGAUUGAAUUUUUAGUCUCGUCUAUCAUAUUUUUCCUAUGAAGUGUCAACUAUUUUCUAGAAAUAGAAGAAAAAUUGGUGGCCAUUAUAUCACUCUUUUUUACCAUCACGUACGUAAUUCAUUCAGAUGUUGUAUCAGUCUCAUAGUUACAAGAUUUUUCCACCCAAGAAAGAUGUUUUUAAAUACUUUUUCUUAUUUACAUAACGUAAAAUAAAAUACUUUUAUAUAUAAAACUAGGAUUGGGUCCCGAAUUUUUAAUAACAUAAGAGAAAAAGAGAGAAAAAAAAAGGAAAGAGAGAGAGAAAAAAAAUAAAAUGUUAAAAUAAAAAAUACGAAAUUGUUUCAACCGUUAACACGUGGUGACGAUGGUCCAAUUUUUAUAUAAAUAUAGAUAUAGAUAAGAUAGAUUCUUAAAGAUAGGUAAGUUGGAUGUAUAGAAGAAAAAAAAACAUAGUUAAGUUGGUAUUUGAAUGUGUCAGUGAUUACAUAAACGCAAUCAACUAAAUCAACUAACAAACAUUAAUAUAGGAGUAUAUUUAGAACACAUUAGAGUGGUCGAAUUUAUGUGAUGCAACAAAUGUUACAUACAAACAAUCUAGCUAAGCUGGCAUUAGAGUCCGAUAUGUGACGGGCUUGAGUCAGUUUACAGUUAAAUGGACUGUGAUCCACAAACAAACCAGCAUUUAACAAACUUGUUUAAGCUAUAAACAAAUUGAUCACGUUGCAUAAUUAUAUAUAUAUAUAUAUAUAUAUAUAUAUAUAUAUUAAAUAUUGUUAAAUAGAUCAGUCCACACGCUUGCCAAGAAAAAAUGACAUCAUUUUUCAUUUAAAUAGAUAAAACAUUUUUUAAAUUAUUUUUAUGAAAAAGCGAGUUUGUUUACAAAAUUUGGAGUAGGGUAAAAGGCUGAAAAAUUUAAUAAUUAAAAAAUUAUAUAAGUAAAUUUAAUAUCAUUUUCAGCAUAAACAUGAAGUUUACUGUACUUUCUUAUUUAUAUAUUAUUCAUUCUUUUCAUUUUUUAUUUAAUAUAAAAUUUCAUCAUUACACUUAAUUUUAACAUAUAAGAUCACAAUUUUUCACAGCAAAUGUUUGUCUUAGUUGCAAGAAAGAAAAAAGUAAAAGUAUAAAAUAUUAUAAUUUCGUUCUAUAAACAAAUAUUAAUUUAUUAUUUUUUGGUGGGAUUCAAAGUUGCAAACUGCCAAUUAUAAACAUUAAGUUAUGACAUGGAACUGAUGGAAGCCCAAAGUGUUAGCUGCACUUACAUGCAAUUCGAUCUGCAAACUAACACAAAAUCUGGAAAUCAGGAACCAAGUAUUAGACACCAUAUUUUGAUUUAAUGUUUAUUGAUAUGUAAAGAAAACAAUUCCAGGGACCGUCUCUUUCGGAUUAGCUUCCUACUUUUAGUAACCCUAAAACAUCAAUUGAACCCUCUUCUUCCAGUGACUGCUGCACGUGUGGCAUCCUGUGGAUCAUACCUUGUCUAUUUUUCGUCAACGAAAAGAAACAAAGUUUCACCCAUCAACAAUCAACAUUGGAGUUUACAGCCCUGAUUUUUGUUUUUGUUUUAGUUACAACGCAAGGCUAGAUUCAAUAAUCAGUAAUUAUAUACAUUUGAUUUGAACUAAAAAUGCUCCAAUGAAGCAGUUUUAAUAAAUUUACACUCGCACACACAUAUAUAUGUACAUGGGCAAACUUAACCGUGAAUUAGAGUUGGUUUGCAUAUUGAUGCCAAGAAAACGACUUCACUGCACAACUCGUCCUUCUCCCUUUGUCUUCUUCGGUCGUUAAACCAUAGGAAUAGCAGAUAAACACAAAACUUUGUAACUCUUAACUUUGUUAGAUACUCCAAAGCUUGGCUUUGGGAGGAACAUAUCAUGCAACAAUAUUAAAUGGUUACCGUUUUCUGAUGAAUUUUUCUAUUUUCUGUAUGGAUUCCUUUAAUUCCUUCUGAUCAUUAGACCUUGAAGGUGAAAGAACAAUGUCUUUCCAAACAGAACCUGGUUCCAUUAUAGGGCUGGGUUCCUUGUAAAGUUCGUAGAUGGAAUCAGCUUCAACAUUUACACUGCCUAUCCUUUCCAAGCAUUUUAUAUCUUUGGGAUAUGGCAGAUUCUGAUCAUCAUCCUUCCGCCAUUUGAGCUGUAAUGUGUUACAAGCUUGUUACCUUUUUGACAUUUAAAUUAAUACUAGUAAAGUGUGAAAUUAAUCAUUUCAUCACAAGAGCGUGCAAAAAUGUUCGAAUUUACCUGUGGUGGACCACCCACAUCAUUUGUGCAAUAGAGCCUGGCAUCAUCAACAAGUUUGCAAAAUCUUGGAAAUGCAUUAGCAAAUCUUUUGUGAGAUUUCAAUUGUGAAUUCACCCUCACUGCCCUCCCUGUCAUAAUAGCUCUCCUGUCAAAAUUCCAAUGGGAAAUGUUAACUUUCAUAUAUAUCCACAAAUUCAAUUCCCAAACUAGUAACAUGGCAGAAUUCACAAGCAUAAAUACCUAAUGCCUCUAACAACAGCAAGAUAGCCAUCACAAACCACACCAACUAGCUCAAUUCUGUAAGGCUUUCGUGUGCGUGGUUCUCCAUUACAAUUUUCCUCUGAUUGAUGUUCUUCUUCCUCCUCAUUUACUUGCUCCCAGUAAUCUUCAGUAAUUGUUGUACCAUCUUCAGAUACUUUAUAUCCUACCCCCAUUCGGUACCUGUGUUUGUGAACAUUUCUUGCCAUAGCAAUAGUCUGCUCCACAAAUGGUUCCCAUGAUAAGGUACCAUCCAUGAUCACAUCUCGACCCUCAUUUAGAGCUGUCACCAGCAGAGAUGAUGCAGCAUCAGUGGAAGAUUG
rnacentral:lncRNA from 1 species